rnacentral:rRNA from 1 species
AUUGAACGCUGGCGGCAUGCUUUACACAUGCAAGUCGAACGGCAGCGCGGGCUUCGGCCUGGCGGCGAGUGGCGAACGGGUGAGUAAUACAUCGGAACGUGCCCGGUAGUGGGGGAUAGCUCGGCGAAAGCCGGAUUAAUACCGCAUACGACCUGCGGGUGAAAGCGGGGGAUCUUCGGACCUCUCGCUAUUGGAGCGGCCGAUGGCAGAUUAGAUAGUUGGUGGGGUAAAGGCCUACCAAGGCGACGAUCUGUAGCUGGUCUGAGAGGACGACCAGCCACACUGGGACUGAGACACGGCCCAGACUCCUACGGGAGGCAGCAGUGGGGAAUGUUGGGCAAUGGGCGAAAGCCUGAUCCAGCAAUGCCGCGUGUGUGAUGAAGGCCUGCGGGUUGUAAAGCACUUUUGGCGGGAACGAAAAGGACUGUGCCAAUACCACGGUUGGAUGACGGUACCCGCAGAAUAAGCACCGGCUAACUACGUG